rnacentral:rRNA from 1 species
CGCGUAGGUGGUUCUGUAUGUCUACCGUGAAAGCGUACGGCUCAACCGUAUUUUGUCGGUAGAGACUGCAGGACUUGAGGCUGGGAGGGGCUGGUGGAAUUCCCUGUGUAGCGGUGAAAUGCGUAGAGAUGGGGGAGAACACUCGUGGCGAGGGCGGCCAGCUAGACCAGUUCUGACACUGAGGCGCGACAGCGUGGGGAGCAAACA